GACGAACGCUGGCGGCGUGCCUAAUACAUGCAAGUCGAACGCAGUGGGGACGGGUGAGUAACACGUGGGUAACCUCCCAUCAGAGGGGAUAACACUUGGAAACAGGUGCUAAACCGAUACUGAUGGAUGGACCCGCGGUGCAUUAGCGAGUUGGGGAGGUAACGGCUCACCAAGGCCACGAUGCAUAGCCGGCCUGAGAGGGUGACCGGCCACACUGGGACUGAGACACGGCCCAGACUCCUACGGGAGGCAGCAGUAGGGAAUCUUCGGCAAUGGGCGAAAGUCUGACGGAGCAAUGCCGCGUGAGUGAAGAAGGUUUUCGGAUCGUAAAAUACUUUUGGUGGAGAAGCGGUAUCUAACCAGAAAGCCACGGCUAACUACGUGCCAGCCGCCGCGGUAAUAC
rnacentral:rRNA from 1 species